GACGGCCACUAAGGUAUCGACCAUGCCUCCUCCGACAAGAACGAUCACAAAUUGAUUUGCUCUUCUGAGUGUAGGGCAGAGUUGAGUGUAGGGCAGAGUUCUGCAUGGACGGGUACCUGCAACGGCCAGGGUCAACAAUGAUGCAGAGUUCUGCAUGGACGAGUACCUGCAACGGCCAGGGUCAACAAUGAUGCAGAUCAGAUGUUCAACUACAGCCCCAUCUAGCCAAAGUCAGAUGUCGGUUGCAAGAAGGGGCUCUGUAGGUUGCAAGAGCUUCUGGUGAUGCAACAACAAGAAUCGACCUGGAGGUCUAGCCGUCUGGAAGUUAA